CUACGGGCUGCUGCAGUGAGGAAUAUUGCACAAUGGGGGGAACCCUGAUGCAGCAACGCCGCGUGGAGGAUGACGCAUUUCGGUGUGUAAACUCCUUUUAUAUGUCAAGAAAAUGACGGUAGCAUAUGAAUAAGCACCGGCUAACUCCGUGCCAGUAGCCGCGGUAAUACGAAGGGUGCAAGCGUUACUCGGAAUCACUGGGCGUAAAGGACGCGUAGGCGGGUUGGAAAGUCAGGUGUGAAAUCCUACAGCUUAACUGUAGAACUGCACUUGAAACUUCUAAUCUAGAGUAUGGGAGGGGGAGAUGGAAUUAGUGGUGUAGGGGUAAAAUCCGUAGAUAUCACUAGGAAUACCUAAAGCGAAGGCGAUCUCCUGGAACAUUACUGACGCUAAGGCGUGAAAGCGUGGGGAGCAAACAGGAUUAGAUACCCGCGUAGUC
rnacentral:rRNA from 1 species